rnacentral:rRNA from 1 species
GAUGAACGCUAGCGGGAGGCUUAACACAUGCAAGUCGAGGGGUAACAUGAUGUAGCAAUACAUUGAUGACGACCGGCGUACGGGUGAGUAACGCGUAUGCAACCUGCCCUGUACUGGGGGAUAGCCCGGAGAAAUUCGGAUUAAUACCCCAUAAAGAUAUCGAGAGGCAUCUUUUGAUAUUUAAAGUUUCGGCGGUACGGGAUGGGCAUGCGUAACAUUAGCUGGUUGGUAGGGUAACGGCCUACCAAGGCUACGAUGUUUAGGGGUCCUGAGAGGGUGAUCCCCCACACUGGUACUGAGACACGGACCAGACUCCUACGGGUGGCAG